UCAGUUCGGAUUGAAGUCUGCAACCCGACUUCAUGAAGCUGGAUUCGCUAGUAAUCGCGCAUCAGCCACGGCGCGGUGAAUACGUUCCCGGGCCUUGUACACACCGCCCGUCAAGCCAUGGGAGCCGGGGGGUACCUGAAGUGCGUAACCGCAAGGGGCGCCCUAGGGUAAAACUGGUGACUGGGGCUAAGUCGUAACAAGGUAGC
rnacentral:rRNA from 1 species